UGUUCGACUAUAGUCAUCAUCUCAUUAUGUACAUGAAGAGACAUAUAUUAACAGAGGGAGCAAAGGGGGAGCCGGGAGGCUAACUGUAGAUCUUCACCUCUCCUCCGCACCUCCCAACCCAGUCCCCCAGUUUUAUCCCCCGCUCUGCAGCAGGACACCCACUGCCGUCUCCCCUUCUUCACUGACCCUCAUUUCCGGCAGAUCUCGCAAACCUCAGUCAACCUUUCCCGCUCAUCAAGUCAUCCCAGCCUCCAGCCCCAGCAGGCGUUCCCUGGGAACUCACCGACCACUUGACCACUCGGGCCAGGGAAGCAGGAGGGAUAGCAGCAGGUCCUCCAAAUUCAAUGCCCCUUUGUACCCCCAGCUCUGCAGCAGACCACUUGCUGCAGCUUGGCCUGCCUCCCUGCCUCCAUCUCCAGUGAAAGCAGGGUUCUUCCCCUCAGUCAUUGCUUUAUUCCAGGCCCCACCUCCAGCAGGCACUCCCUGGGAACCCCAAGGCCACACCAGCCAGGCAAGCAGGGAGCCUUGCUGUAGAUCUCUACCUCUCUCUCCUCCAAAUCUGAUUCCAUAGUUUCACCCCAUCUCUGUUCAGACCUGCUUCUGUGCACCAACCCUCCCCCACCCCCGUGCUGUGCCCCCAUCUCCAGCUGAUCACACGGAUCUCCUCCAACCUACCUCCUCUAUCAUCCUGUUAUCCCAGCCACCAGCUCCAGCGGGCAUUCCCUGGGAGCCCACUGGCCAAGCCUGUCGGAGAAGCAUCCAGGUCAGCUAAGCAGGUUUGGACACUAGCAACGAGACAAUGGGCCGAAGGCCGACAGUCACAGUAAGGAAUGGACAUUUGAGCUUUGGUGUCUUUCUCGUAUGUCCCAUCAGGAAAUGGCUGGGCCAGGCACACGGGUAUGAGCUGAUGCUUUCUUCAGUUCUUGAUGUAAGCCUGGCAGAAGAGCUCGGAGGGCCCACAGGGCCUUGAGAAUCAACCCAGCUUGCGAGUUAGAAUUCUCACUCCGUAUUUACAAUAUGUAUCUCUAUUAUUUUGAGGCACAGAUAACUUACGUAUCUACUUUACAUAUCUCUGAAGGCUUGGCAUCUCUUGAUCAAGCAGGUUCAGGAUAGAGCUGGUGUCAUGGCGCACAUGCCGUAGCAGGGGAAAGGAAGAAAAGAUGUUCAAGACAACCAUCUCUUUUCUCCUUCUUUUUUCUUCCCUUUAAUAUCAUCUCCUUCAGCUUUUCCUCAGCUGGUCAUGGCGGUCCACAUCUGUAAUCUGAGAACUCGGGGGAAGAGGCAGAAGUAUCAGCAGUUCAAGCCAUCUGCCUUCAUGCAGCUGUAAGAGCCAAGCAUGGUGACAUGCACCCAUAGCCCUGACUACUCAGGAAGCUGAGGUGGGAGGAUGACUGGAGAUCGGGAGUUCGAGGUCAGCCUGGGCAACACAGUGAGACCAUGCCAUAGGAAGAAGGAAGUACAUGACACAGUAAUCCCAUGUAACUUAUUUUAAGUCCCCUUACCAUCCUCAAAGUUUUGUAAGAUUUGUCUUUCUUCCUCUUGGCCACCUGGCUUCCACUUCUUUCACUCUAUUACAGCGUGCUCUUCUCAAGGCCACCAAUGCCCCUGUUGCCUUACCAGAGCCAUUUUUUCUUGGUCUUGGAGCAUCUGAAUUGUCAGCCAUGACCUUGGAAACUCUCUGUUUCUGACUUGGUGCCAUCACACCAUCUGGCUUUCUCAAGCUACCGUAACCGGAGGUCAGAAGAGAGAGGUGGAUGGGACAGUGAGGUUGGUUCCUUGACUUGUAAAAGCAUCACCUGAGUCCUGCCUUCAUCUUCCGGUGCUGCUCUCCCCAAGUGCAUGCCUCUGUACCAAUUUUCUCUUUUUAUGGGGACUACAGGAAGAGUGGAGUGCCGCUUACCCAAUGGCUUCAUCCUCGUUGAUUGACAUCUGUGUUAUCCCUAUUUCCAAAUACGUCCAUGUGUGAUGUUCUGAAGGGUCAUCGACCAACCUUCAAGACUUAGCUUUCCCUCAGUUGUGUCCUUGGCCUCUGAUGAGAAGAUCCGCUGGGCGGUGGUGGCGCACGCCUUUAA